rnacentral:rRNA from 1 species
ACGCUGGCGGCGUGCCUAAUACAUGCAAGUAGAACGCUGAAGGAGGAGCUUGCUUCUCCGGAUGAGUUGCGAACGGGUGAGUAACGCGUAGGUAACCUGCCUGGUAGCGGGGGAUAACUAUUGGAAACGAUAGCUAAUACCGCAUAAGAGUAGAUGUUGCAUGACAUUUGCUUAGAAGGUGCAAUUGCAUCACUACCAGAUGGACCUGCGUUGUAUUAGCUAGUUGGUGGGGUAACGGCUCACCAAGGCGACGAUACAUAGCCGACCUGAGAGGGUGAUCGGCCACACUGGGACUGAGACACGGCCCAAACUCCUACGGGAGGCAGCAGUAGGGAAUCUUCGGCAAUGGACGGAAGUCUGACCGAGCAACGCCGCGUGAGUGAAGAAGGUUUUCGGAUCGUAAAGCUCUGUUGUAAGAGAAGAACGAGUGUGAGAGUGGAAAGUUCACACUGUGACGGUAUCUUACCAGAAAGGGACGGCUAACUACGUGCCAGCAGCCGCGGUAAUACGUAGGUCCCGAGCGUUGUCCGGAUUUAUUGGGCGUAAAGCGAGCGCAGGCGGUUAGAUAAGUCUGAAGUUAAAGGCUGUGGCUUAACCAUAGUACGCUUUGGAAACUGUUUAACUUGAGUGCAAGAGGGGAGAGUGGAAUUCCAUGUGUAGCGGUGAAAUGCGUAGAUAUAUGGAGGAACACCGGUGGCGAAAGCGGCUCUCUGGCUUGUAACUGACGCUGAGGCUCGAAAGCGUGGGGAGCAAACAGGAUUAGAUACCCUGGUAGUCCACGCCGUAAACGAUGAGUGCUAGGUGUUAGACCCUUUCCGGGGUUUAGUGCCGCAGCUAACGCAUUAAGCACUCCGCCUGGGGAGUACGACCGCAAGGUUGAAACUCAAAGGAAUUGACGGGGGCCCGCAC